rnacentral:misc_RNA from 1 species
GUAGGUGAACCUGCGGAAGGAUCAUUAGUGAAUUGAAUAUGUUAGCGGACCUCUUCGGAGUCCCUAGCAUCAAAUCAUAUCCAUAACACCUGUGAACUGUAAGGCUGUCUUGAAAACGAAAGUGAUUAGAGCGCCUGCCCAUUUUAUACAAACAUUAAAGUAACAAACGUAGUCUUAUUAUAAUCUAAUAAAACUUUCAACAACGGAUCUCUUGGCUCUCGCAUCGAUGAAGAACGCAGCAUCUGACUGA